rnacentral:lncRNA from 10 species
CGAGUAGCUGGGACUACAGGCGCCCGCCAUCAUGCCCGGCUAAUUUUUGGUAUUUUUAGUAGAGACGGGGUUUCACCGUGUUAGCCAGGAUGGUCUCGAUUUCCUGACCUCGUGAUCCGCCCGCCUCGGCCUCCCGAAGUGCUGGGAUUACAGGCGUGAGCCACCGCGCCCGGCCCUUGCAGUGUCUUUUGAUGUGAGCUGGCAUGAUGGGGGUCCAGGCCUCAGUGUUCCUGGCCUGCUGCUCUGGGGGCAGGGGCUGGGAGGAAGGAAGGAGCUUGCUGAACUCCUAGCGACUGUCAUCUGGAAUAUCAUCUCUGAAACACAGAGUUGGGGGCAUAAGAAAUGCUGGUGGUCUACUCCUGGGGAGACACUGAAGCAUUUGGUUGGCAGCUGGAGUGAGAGAGUUGAAAUUUGUGUCUACAGAAAAACCUGCACAUGAAGAUUUAUAGCAGCUUUUUAUGUAAUUGCUAAAAUUUGGAAGCAACCAAGAUGUCCUUCCAUGG